CAAUUGCGAAGGCAGCUUUCUGGAUCAUUACUGACACUGAGGAACGAAAGCAUGGGUAGCGAAGAGGAUUAGAUACCCUCGUAGUCCAUGCCGUAAACGAUGUGUGUUAGACGUUGGAAAUUUAUUUUCAGUGUCGCAGCGAAAGCGAUAAACACACCGCCUGGGGAGUACGACCGCAAGGUUAAAACUCAAAUGAAUUGACGGGGACCCGCACAAGUAGUGGAGCAUGUGGUUUAAUUCGAAGAUACGCGCAGAACCUUACCAACACUUGACAUGUUCGUCGCGACUUUAAGAGAUUAAAGUUUUCGGUUCGGCCGGACGAAACACAGGUGCUGCAUGGCUGUCGUCAGCUCGUGUCGUGAGAUGUUGGGUUAAGUCCCGCAACGAGCGCAACCCUCACUUUUAGUUGCCAUCAUUAAGUUGGGCACUCUGAAAGAACUGCCAGUGAUAAGCUGGAGGAAGGUGGGGAUGACGUCAAGUCCUCAUGGCCCUUACGUGUUGGGCUACACACGUGCUACAAUGGUAUCUACAACAGGAAGCAAAACGGCGACGUUAAGCAAAUCCUUAAAAGAUACCUCAGUUCGGAUUGUACUCUGCAACUCGAGUACAUGAAGCUGGAAUUACUAGUAAUCGUGGAUCAGCGUGCCACGGUGAAUGCGUUCCCGGGUCUUGUACACACCGCCCGUCACACCAUGGGAGUUGGUUCUACCUUAAGGCAAGGUUUAAAACCCUUGACCACGGUAUAGUCAGCGACUGGGGUGAAGUCGUAACAAGGUAGCCGUAGGGGAACCUGCGGCUG
rnacentral:rRNA from 1 species